GACGAACGCUGGCGGCGUGCUUAACACAUGCCAGUCGAACGGAAAGGCCCUGCUUUUGUGGGGUGCUCGAGUGGCGAACGGGUGAGUAACACGUGAGUAACCUGCCCUUGACUUUGGGAUAACUUCAGGAAACUGGGGCUAAUACCGGAUAGGAGCUCCUGCUGCAUGGUGGGGGUUGGAAAGUUUCGGCGGUUGGGGAUGGACUCGCGGCUUAUCAGCUUGUUGGUGGGGUAGUGGCUUACCAAGGCUUUGACGGGUAGCCGGCCUGAGAGGGUGACCGGCCACCUUGGGACUGAGGGACGGCCCAGACUCCUACGGGAGGCAGCAGUGGGGAAUAUUGCACAAUGGGCGGAAGCCUGAUGCAGCAACGCCGCGUGCGGGAUGACGGCCUUCGGGUUGUAAACCGCUUUCGCCUGUGACGAAGCGGGAGUGACGGUAAUGGGUAAAGAAGCACCGGCUAACUACGUG
rnacentral:rRNA from 1 species